GUCAUUAUCUGUGUCCCCGCAUCCAUCCUCUUAUGAGCCAUGAAAGCUCUGAUAUCAAGUCACAAUCGGAGCUUCAGCUCAUCAAAUAUAGAAAUAGAUCGCUCACCUAAGAGGACCUGUGGAGGAAGUGGGAAUGGGGGCUCUGGUGUUUUAUGCCCGUAAUUCCAACAUUUGAGAGCCUGAAGCAGGUGAAUCGCUCCAAGUUUGAGAACAGCCUGGGUUACAUAGAGUUAAGCAAACAUGAACUAUAAAGUGUAUAGUACCUCAAAGUCUAGAAGGAGAUUUCAUCUUGAAGCAGUGACAUUGUAGGAAGCUAGGCGGCUCAGCUUUAGCACAAGAGGAGUGCACAGCCACACUCGGUACCUCCCACCCAGCCUCUGGAGGAGAGGGAGGAGGCGGGUCUGGAGGUGGAGCCUCCGUGAGGACCUGCGGACCUACAGCACAGCCUAUGGGCCUAUGGCGGAGCGACGCCUGUGGGCUGUGGCCUUCUGCGGGCGGCCAUUGUCGUGCCUGAUAAGCUUUUCUACGUGACUCACUUGCUUCACCUAGCCGGCAGAGCGAGACGACUGGGUAACUCCCUGAUCCGGUCUGCUUCUCCCUACACCCAGGCAACAUCCUUGGCCCGCCCAAUCUCUGCCACCAGCCUCGAGCGGAUCGACCUGAGCCCCGGGCCUAGCACCGGAGGGAUCCGGGUCGAGAAGAAUCAUUGCUACGCUCCAGUCCUGGAGUCUUCUGUUAGCCAGACUGUGAGGCGUAACGGAUUCCUAAGGCUCUCCUGGCCAGGCAGGACUUCUCCCAGCACUCACGAGGAACUGAGCCUGGACUGGUGUUUGGAGGAACAAGUCAUAACACCGAUCGCUCCCAGCACAGACUUGCCACUGCCCCCACCCCCAAACCUACUCUCUCCUGUUUCAUUCCCCCCAGAACCCACAGUUCCCAAACAGUGCACCUGCGGGAGAUCCCAACCCAACUGGAGAAGUGGACAUGAGGUUGGCAGGCCCCCUGCGCAUCGUGGCCCUAAUCAUCAUUAUGGGUCUCACCUGGAUCCUAGUCACCAUCCUCCUAGGUGGUCCUGGUGUUGGCCUUCCUCGAAUUCAGCAGUUCUUCACCAGUGAGUGUGGGAAUCCUCUUGAUUCACUAUAGAGGCGCCGAAUAUGGGUUAUGGUGGUUGGGUUUCCCAUUACCUUCAUGGCAGGCUUCCUUUUGCUGCCCUAGGUCUAUCUUCUAACACAAAUGCAUCCUUGUUCCCGAGAACCAUCCUAGAGAACAACACUCCUA
rnacentral:lncRNA from 1 species